rnacentral:rRNA from 1 species
GACGAACGCUGGCGGCGUGCCUAAUACAUGCAAGUUGAGCGCUGAAGGUUGGUACUUGUACCAACUGGAUGAGCAGCGAACGGGUGAGUAACGCGUGGGGAAUCUGCCUUUGAGCGGGGGACAACAUUUGGAAACGAAUGCUAAUACCGCAUAAAAACUUUAAACACAAGUUUUAAGUUUGAAAGAUGCAAUUGCAUCACUCAAAGAUGAUCCCGCGUUGUAUUAGCUAGUUGGUGAGGUAAAGGCUCAACAAGGCGAUGAUACAUAGCCGACCUGAGAGGGUGAACGGCCACAUUGAGACUGUGACGCGACCCAGACUACUGCGGGGGAGAGCAGCAGGGAAAUUUCUGCAAAGGGCGAAAGUCUGACCGAGCAACGCCACGAGAGUGAAGAAGGUUAUCGGGUCGUAAAACUCUGUUGGUAGAGAAGAACGUUGGUGAGAGUGGAAAGCUCAUCAAGUGACGGUAACUACCCAGAAAGGGGCGGCUAACUACGUG